rnacentral:rRNA from 1 species
UACGAAGGGGCUAGCGUUGUUCGGAAUUACUGGGCGUAAAGCGCACGUAGGCGGAUAUUUAAGUCCGCCGUCAAAUCCCAGGGCUCAACCCUGGACAGGCGGUGGAACUACCAAGCUGGAGUACGGUAGGGGCAGAGGGAAUUCCGGUGGAGCGGUGAAAUGCGUAGAGAUCGGAAAGAACACCAACGGCGAAAAGCACUCUGCUGGGGGCCCGACACUGAC